rnacentral:rRNA from 1 species
UGGGGAAUAUUGGACAAUGGUCGCAAGCCUGAUCCAGCCAUGACGCGUGAGUGAUGAAGGCCCUAGGGUUGUAAAGCUCUUUCACCGGUGAAGAUAAUGACGGUAACCGGAGAAGAAGCCCCGGCUAACUUCGUGCCAGCAGCCGCGGUAAUACGAAGGGGGCUAGCGUUGUUCGGAUUUACUGGACGUAAAGCGCACGUAGGCGGACUUUUAAGUCAAGGGUGAAAUCCCGGGGCUCAACCCCGGAACUGCCUUUGAUACUGGAAGUCUUGAGUAUGGUAGAGGUGAGUGGAAUUCCGAGUGUAGAGGUGAAAUUCGUAGAUAUUCGGAGGAACACCAGUGGAGAAGGCGGCUCACUGGACCAUUACUGACGCUGAGGUGAGAAAGCGUGGGGAGCAAACAGG